GCUGGUGUAGCUUAAUAUAAAGCAUAGCACUGAAGAUGCUAAGAUAAGCCCUAGAAAGCUUCACCUGCA
rnacentral:tRNA from 1 species